rnacentral:rRNA from 1 species
CCUACGGGUGGCAGCAGUGGGGAAUAUUGGACAAUGGGCGAAAGCCUGAUCCAGCCAUGCCGCGUGUGUGAAGAAGGCCUUCGGGUUGUAAAGCACUUUCAGUGGGGAAGAAAGCCUUGGGGCUAAUACCCUCGAGGAAGGACAUCACCCACAGAAGAAGCACCGGCUAACUCCGUGCCAGCAGCCGCGGUAAUACGGAGGGUGCGAGCGUUAAUCGGAAUUACUGGGCGUAAAGCGCGCGUAGGCGGUCUGAUAAGCCGGUUGUGAAAGCCCCGGGCUUAACCUGGGAACGGCAUCCGGAACUGUCAGGCUAGAGUGCAGGAGAGGAAGGUAGAAUUCCCGGUGUAGCGGUGAAAUGCGUAGAGAUCGGGAGGAAUACCAGUGGCGAAGGCGGUCUUCUGGACUGACACUGACGCUGAGGUGCGAAAGCGUGGGUAGCAAACAGGAUUAGAUACCCUAGUAGUC